UAGUCGUCCGUGGAUGCUAAGGGCUGUCACUAGGUGGCUAAAUAUUUUAGUGUGUUUAGGGAUUGAACUAUUCACCCCUAGUGUGUAGAGGGAUGAAUGGGGGCGUUAUUUAAGUUCUGAGACGACAUUCUACUAAAUCUAAUUGACUAACUAAUUCUCUUUCUCUUUUCACCCGUGACGCUGUCCGUGAAUAGUGACUCUCGACAUUGCUGCAUGCUUUUUUCUGAAAUUUUAUCGAAGAUUAUUAAAUGUCGUUUUGCCAUGUGAUGUGCUGUACAUUUUCUUAAAUGUAUUGCUGCGUGUUGCACGUUUCGCCACAUGUAGAAUAACGGUACAAAAUUGUUGAUUACCUCUUAAUGCCUAUGACUGUAUCUGAAUUGAAAUUCCUUGAUUGGUUUCUGGUCGUAAUUGAGUUUUUAUUUUUCAUUGAGCAGCCCUAUGGAGUUAGAGCUUCUUCAUGUGUUGCGUGCACGUUACACAUUUCCAUUUCAAAAUGUUAUUGGUUCUUUUCAUUUAUUUUCUUUUGCUUUUUAGUUGUUUAGUCAGUUUGAUGUCCCAGUUGAAUUGGUGUCUGUUUGGUGUGCAUAUCAUAUUCAGGUGGUUUUGUUGCAGCCAGAUGUUAAAAGGGAGUUAAAGUCAAAUUGAGCUGCAGGUUCUGGAAGCCAUCUUCAUUGCUGGUGUCUUCCUGAAAUGUAAAAGAGAUGAAGUAAUCAUGAAACGGUAUUGGUGAUGUGUUCAUCAAUCUUCUGCAUUCAGUUUUUGUUAUCAAGAAUUGGAGAAUUAAAACUUGUAGCAAAGCUGCCAGAGAAAGAAAUGGUUUCGACGGAAAUGUGCAGCAGUUUUGCGGUCCGACUCCUGUUUAAGCUGUUGCUUUCCUGAAUUUUGCUGGAGUCUCUGAAGUAGCUGAACCUGAAGUUAUGAUGCUGGUGUUAUCCUGAAAUAGCUGAUGUUGGGAUGAUCAAGUUACUGCGGCAGUGCAAUUCGUGUUGAUAAAAAUAUUAUAUCCAUAUAGUAUGUGAUUGUAGUAACCUUAAGCUAUUUCGUUAUCCAUUGUGGUAUGUUGCAAUCUGAUGUUUGUUUAAACAGUAGUUGUGCAUCCUGAAAUCAUCCUCACUCACUCAUAUGUCUUAAAUAAUGGCGUGUUAAAGUCAACUUGAAUAUUUAGAUGUGCGUUGGAUACUUAAUAUUUCUCACAAUUAUAUGUGAAAUGUUAUAAUAAAUAAAAACACAACCAAUUUUA